GAUGAACGCUGGCGGCGUGCCUAAUACAUGCAAGUCGAGCGAACAGAUGAGGAGCUUGCUCCUCUGACGUUAGCGGCGGACGGGUGAGUAACACGUGGAUAACCUACCUAUAAGACUGGGAUAACUUCGGGAAACCGGAGCUAAUACCGGAUAAUAUAUUGAACCGCAUGGUUCAAUAGUUAAAGACGGUUUUGCUGUCACUUAUAGAUGGAUCCGCGCCGCAUUAGCUAGUUGGUAAGGUAACGGCUUACCAAGGCAACGAUGCGUAGCCGACCUGAGAGGGUGAUCGGCCACACUGGAACUGAGACACGGUCCAGACUCCUACGGGAGGCAGCAGUAGGGAAUCUUCCGCAAUGGGCGAAAGCUUGACGGAGCAACGCCGCGUGAGUGAUGAAGGUCUUCGGAUCGUAAAACUCUGUUAUUAGGGAAGAACAAAUGUGUAAGUAACUAUGCACGUCUUGACGGUACCUAAUCAGAAAGCCACGGCUAACUACGUG
rnacentral:rRNA from 1 species